CACGUAGUUAGCCGGUGCUUCUUAACAAAGGUACCGUCACCACACCCAAAAAGUAUGGCUUCGUCCCUAACGAAAGGAGUUUACAACCCGAAGGCCGUCAUCCCCCACGCGGCGUCGCUGCAUCAGGCUUGCGCCCAUUGUGCAAUAUUCCCCACUGCUGCCUCCCGUAGGAGUCUGGGCCGUAUCUCAGUCCCAAUGUGGCCGUCCACCCUCUCAGGCCGGCUACCCGUCGACGCCUUGGUAGGCCAUUACCCCACCAACAAGCUGAUAGGCCGCGAGCUCAUCCUGCACCAAAACAAUAAUCUUUCCACCAUGAGACACUAAACCAUGGUCCUAUCCGGUAUUAGACCCAGUUUCCCAAGCUUAUCCCGAAGUACAGGGCAGAUCACCCACGUGUUACUCACCCGUUCGCCACUCGAGCACCCCCACCAAGGUGGGGGCCUUUCCGUUCGACUUGCAUGUGUUAAGCACGCCGCCAGCGUUCGUCCUUCGAGUCCAGGACUCAAACUCU
rnacentral:rRNA from 1 species